rnacentral:rRNA from 1 species
CCUACGGGAGGCUGCAGUGAGGAAUAUUGGUCAAUGGGCGAGAGCCUGAACCAGCCAAGUCGCGUGAGGGAGUACUGCCCUAUGGGUUGUAAACCUCUUUUGUCGGGGAGCAAAAGCCGGACGUGUCCGGCUGUGAGAUUACCCGAAGAAAAAGCAUCGGCUAACUCCGUGCCAGCAGCCGCGGUAAUACGGAGGAUGCGAGCGUUAUCCGGAUUUAUUGGGGUUAAAGGGUGCGCAGGCGGAUUUUUAAGUCAGCGGUCAAAUCGUGGGGCUCAACCCCAUCCAGCCGUUGAAACUGGGGAUCUAGAGUGUGCGAGAGGUAUGCGGAAUGCGUGGUGUAGCGGUGAAAUGCAUAGAUAGCACGCAGAACCCCGAUUGCGAAGGCAGCAUACCGGUGCACAACUGACGCUGAGGCACGAAAGCGUGGGUAUCGAACAGGAUUAGAUACCCUUGUAGUC